GGCGUGCCUAAUACAUGCAAGUCGAGCGAACAGAUGAGAAGCUUGCUCCUCUGAUGUUAGCGGCGGACGGGUGAGUAACACGUGGGUAACCUACCUAUAAGACUGGGAUAACUCCGGGAAACCGGGGCUAAUACCGGAUAAUAUUUUGAACCGCAUGGUUCAAUAGUGAAAGACGGUUUCGGCUGUCACUUAUAGAUGGACCCGCGCCGUAUUAGCUAGUUGGUAAGGUAAUGGCUUACCAAGGCGACGAUACGUAGCCGACCUGAGAGGGUGAUCGGCCACACUGGAACUGAGACACGGUCCAGACUCCUACGGGAGGCAGCAGUAGGGAAUCUUCCGCAAUGGGCGAAGGCCUGACGGAGCAACGCCGCGUGAGUGAUGAAGGUCUUCGGAUCGUAAAACUCUGUUGUUAGGGAAGAACAAAUUUGUUAGUAACUGAACAAGUCUUGACGGUACCUAACCAGAAAGCCACGGCUAACUACGUGCCAGCAGCCGCGGUAAUACGUAGGUGGCAAGCGUUAUCCGGAAUUAUUGGGCGUAAAGCGCGCGUAGGCGGUUUCUUAAGUCUGAUGUGAAAGCCCACGGCUCAACCGUGGAGGGUCAUUGGAAACUGGGAAACUUGAGUGCAGAAGAGGAGAGUGGAAUUCCAUGUGUAGCGGUGAAAUGCGCAGAGAUAUGGAGGAACACCAGUGGCUAAGGCGGCUCUCUGGUCUGUAACUGACGCUGAUGUGCGAAAGCGUGGGGAUCAAACAGGAUUGGAUACCCUGGUAGUCCACGCCGUAAACGAUGAGUGCUAAGUGUUAGGGGGUUUCCGCCCCUUAGUGCUGCAGCUAACGCAUUAAGCACUCCGCCUGGGGAGUACGACCGCAAGGUUGAAACUCAAAGGAAUUGACGG
rnacentral:rRNA from 1 species